rnacentral:rRNA from 1 species
UGUGCCCUACGGGGCGCAGCAGUGAGGAAUAUUGGUCAAUGGGCGGAAGCCUGAACCAGCCAAGUCGCGUGAGGGAAUAAGGCCCUACGGGUCGUAAACCUCUUUUGCCGGGGAGCAAGGGCGGGGACGUGUCCCGGCCCGGAGAGUACCCGGAGAAAAAGCAUCGGCUAACUCCGUGCCAGCAGCCGCGGUAAUACGUAGGUGGCGAGCGUUAUCCGGAAUGAUUGGGCGUAAAGGGUGCGCAGGCGGUCCUGCAAGUCUGGAGUGAAAAGCAUGAGCCCAACUCAUGCAUGGCUUUGGAAACU